rnacentral:sRNA from 1 species
GUAGGAGCGGCGGCGGCGGCGGCGGCCGAAAGCGGAGUGAAAGAGGGAGGCAGGGAGCCGGAGAGCCGGAACCGGAGUCGCAGCGGCGGAGACCCCUGUGCGGUGCGGAGGGGGCGGCGGCCCCGACUCUGACCCGCGCCGGGGGUGGGCCAUGGCGGAGAUCAGCGACCUGGACCGGCAGAUCGAGCAGCUGCGUCGCUGCGAGCUCAUCAAGGAGAGCGAAGUCAAGGCCCUGUGCGCUAAGGCCAGAGAGAUCUUGGUAGAGGAGAGCAACGUGCAGAGGGUGGACUCGCCAGUCACAGUGUGCGGCGACAUCCAUGGACAAUUCUAUGACCUCAAAGAGCUGUUCAGAGUAGGUGGCGAUGUCCCUGAGACCAACUACCUCUUCAUGGGGGACUUUGUGGACCGUGGCUUCUAUAGCGUCGAAACGUUCCUCCUGCUGCUGGCACUUAAGGUGGCAGUCCCCGGCUUCUGCGCCCCCAACCUGGGUGACCUCGGGCCGGGCCUGUCUUAGUCCGUUCCACCCUCAUCUCCUAUCGUGACCAGCCCCACCUUGGAGCUGUGUCACUGGUGAUGGACCAAUUCUGCUUUUGGGGGUGGUCAGAGACUUGAUGGGGGUUGAGGCCAGCGGGGCAGCAUUCUGGGAGGGGCAGAGGCUCACUGUUGCGAAUGUGGCAGGUCAUUGAUGCCACUGGUGGGAGAGGCAGUGUGGGGCCAGAUGACAAAGGGCCUGGGUGCCUUGCUAGGGACCCGGUCUGUGUCUGGCAGGUGAAAGAAGAGCCAUUAGGUUCAUAGUUGAGGGAAUGGGUCAGGUUUACAUUCUCUGGAGGGGUCGUGUGGGCCUGGGAGGUGGCUCAUGCCACAUGAUUCAGGCAAGAGGUGCCAGGAGUGUGCUGGGCAGUGGUUGUGAGGAUGGCAUGAGGCUGGCGGGCAUGAGGAGGUCAGAGAGGGAUGUGUGGAGAGACCGUCUAGGCGCCAGCCCUGGCUUGGUGGCCACCCCCAGGUUCGCUAUCCUGAUCGCAUCACGCUGAUCCGGGGCAACCAUGAGAGUCGCCAGAUCACGCAGGUCUAUGGCUU